rnacentral:rRNA from 1 species
GAUGAACGCUGGCGGCGUGCUUAACACAUGCAAGUCGAGCGGGCAAUUUAUCUAGCACUGAUUACUUCAAAUGGCUAUCGCCAGUGUAAUCAUGAAUUUCUACCUUUUAAUAAAGAAAAAAGAAAUUCAUGUACGCAAAUAGUGAUAACACAUUUUAGUGGAGUGAUGAGUGCUGGAUAAAUUGCUAGCGGCGGACGGGUGCGUAACACGUGGGUAACCUGCCCCUAUCACUGGGAUAACACACUGAAAAGUGUGCUAAUACCAGAUAACAUAAGCUUUUGGCAUCAUUAGCUUAUCAAAGAAUUUCGGAUAGGGAUGGGCCCGCGUCUGAUUAGCUAGUUGGUGAGGUAACGGCUCACCAAGGCAACGAUCAGUAGCCGACCUGAGAGGGUGAUCGGCCACACUGGAACUGAGACACGGUCCAGACUCCUACGGGAGGCAGCAGUGGGGAAUAUUGCACAAU